ACAGCAGUAGCCACGGUAAUACAGAGGGUGCGAGCGUUAAUCGGAUUUACUGGGCGUAAAGCGUGCGUAGGCGGCUAAUUGAGUCGGAUGUGAAAUCCCCGAGCUUAACUUGGGAAUUGAAUUCGAUACUGGUUAGCUAGAGUGUGGGAGAGGAUGGUAGAAUUCCAGGUGUAGCGGUGAAAUGCGUAGAGAUCUGGAGGAAUACCGAUGGCGAAGGCAGCCAUCUGGCCUAACACUGACGCUGAGGUACGAAAGCAUGGGGAGCAAACAGGAUUAGAGACCCGCGUAGUCCCUGUCUCUUAUAA
rnacentral:rRNA from 1 species